GAGGAGGAAGCUGAUAAAGAGCUUAGAGAUGAACUUUACUUAGGGAACAAUGCGGAUGGGGAGAGGUUGGCCGAAACUAUUGGAGCUGACAGUAUGAAUAAGUUGGUUGAAGGGUUUGAAGAGAUUAGCAGUAGAGUUUUGCCUUCUCCUAUGGAUGAUGCUUACUUGGAAGCUUUGCAUACCAACUUUAUGGUGAGUAGUUCACCUUUUAAAAUUUUGUUCCAUGAUUAUUGUCAUUAUUAUUUUCAAUCAUUAGGAUUAGAUAUUAAAUUGUUUUCUUUUUUCUAUGUAUGCUAUCAGCUGAAAGAGAAUUGGCCUGGUGACACAUAUAUUAUAGACUAAAUUUUCUUGUAAGUUGUGUAGAAUUGGACUCAGGGAAUAUUUUAAGUAUAUUUUAUUUUAGAUAAAUUGCAGAGAAUUCCUAUCUGAAAAUAGAGUCACUGUGUAGCAGAAUAAUAUUAAGGGUGGAGAAUCUGAUUUCCUGUAUGGUAAAGGAGGGGGUUGGCUAGUGUGGGCAAAUCUUUCCCUAACUCGUUGUUAUGGGAAGGGAUGGGAUUAACAAUUUAAUAUGGGGGUGGGGACUAGGGAUGGGAGUGCUUUUCUUGCUUCAUAGUCUGCUUUAAUGGCAUACUUAGUCAAAGCUGGUGAUUGCUAGAUUAGAAUUAGAGUUAGUCCUAUGUUCACAGUUAUCAACAUGUCUAAUACCUUGUUUAAGGUCUCAAUGUUAAUUUGGAAGUUCAUUUACUCGUGUUUGUGCUUUUAUUUUAAAUACGAAGGUAACUUUAGUUUGCAACCGAGAGUAUGAUAAAUGAUGUAAAGUAUAACUUGAUUGAAAAACGAGGAUUAAUUUGUAUGUAUGAUGUUAAGGAUUCGAAUUCUGUCCCAUGAAUCUUAAUUGUUUUACGAUAGAAAAUGUAUAAAUGAAAAACCUGGGUUGGGACAGAGUUCUAACUGCUGUUAAUCGUCAUUAUGUUGUUUGAGGCUUAUCUAGAAUAAGAUAGUAGAUGGGCUUUAGGGGUGACAAGUACAGAAAUAAGUUUUAAUCUGAAAGAUAUGCCUCAGUAAUUUAUUUAUUUUAUAAUCUAUGAGGCUGGUAAUACUCUAUAGCUAUGUUGGGCUCUAAUUGGUUGGUGUGAAAUUAUAUUCACAUUGCUGCCCUUGCAUUCUGUAAUUUGUUCAGAAUAAUUUAAUAUAUUCUUGUUGAUUUUCAAUGAUUCACUUGUUCUGACGAUAAUGUACGGCAAAUUGUUUGAUAUUCCUGAAGUUGUUCAAGGAGUGUAUUUUUGGUUUGUUCUUGAAAAUUCUUGUAUUAGAUGGCUAUUAUGAGCUCAUUGUCAAUUACUUUGAUUAAUCAAGAAAAUUGGAAUUUGUGUUUACUUGCAUGCUACAUAACAGUUUGGGCUGGUAAGUCAUCUGAUUCUUUUUCUUAGUAAUUACUGUUUAUAAAGGCUUUUUGGUAUGUAAUUAAAUGAUUACCAGUUUGCUCAGUUCAUUAGGAUUGUUUAGAAGGUAUAUACUUGGUUGCUAUAAGUUUUCCUUGGACUAGAAUUUUAGGUAAUGCGAAGCAUUGCUAACAAAUAGGUUUAUGUGUUGUAGAUACAAUUGAUAAUGCAUAUUUAAAAGAAGAACAAUUGAAACAAGAUCAAACUAAUUCAACCAUAUCCUUAAUUGAACAUUGCAACAAGAUUAUGCAUGGACUGUAUUGUCAAACAUUGAUAUUUUUGUGUGAAUCUUGAUUCAAAGCUUUUAUGUACUUAUUUGGGUUGCAGAUAGAGUUCGAACCUGAAUAUCUGAUGGAAGAGUUUGGGACUAACCCAGAUAUUGAUGAGAAACCACCUAUGUCUCUUAGAGAUGCACUUGAGAAGGUGAAGCCUUUCCUCAUGUCAUAUGAAGGAAUUGAAAAUCAAG
rnacentral:lncRNA from 1 species